rnacentral:rRNA from 1 species
AUUGAACGCUGGCGGCAGGCCUAACACAUGCAAGUCGAGCGGUAGAGAGAAGCUUGCUUCUCUUGAGAGCGGCGGACGGGUGAGUAAUGCCUAGGAAUCUGCCUAGUGGUGGGGGAUAACGUUCGGAAACGGACGCUAAUACCGCAUACGUCCUACGGGAGAAAGCGGGGGAUCUUCGGACCUCGCGCCAUUAGAUGAGCCUAGGUCGGAUUAGCUAGUUGGUGAGGUAAUGGCUCACCAAGGCGACGAUCCGUAACUGGUCUGAGAGGAUGAUCAGUCACACUGGAACUGAGACACGGUCCAGACUCCUACGGGAGGCAGCAGUGGGGAAUUUUGGACAAUGGGCGCAAGCCUGAUCCAGCAAUGCCGCGUGCAGGAAGAAGGCCUUCGGGUUGUAAACUGCUUUUGUACGGAACGAAAAGGCUCUGGUUAAUACCUGGGGCUCAUGACGGUACCGUAAGAAUAAGCACCGGCUAACUACGUG